rnacentral:rRNA from 1 species
AUUGAACGCUGGCGGCGUGCCUAACACAUGCAAGUCGAGCGGUAACAGGUGUAGCAAUACAUGCUGACGAGCGGCGGACGGGUGAGUAACGCUUGGGAAUCUGCCUAUUAGUGGGGGACAACCCGGGGAAACUCGGGCUAAUACCGCAUACGCUCUACGGAGGAAAGCCGGGGACCGCAAGGCCUGGCGCUAAUAGAUGAGCCCAAGUCGGAUUAGCUAGUUGGUAGGGAACGGCCUACCAAGGCUACGAUCCGUAACUGGUCUGAGAGGACGACCAGUCACACCGGAACUGAGACACGGUCCGGACUCCUACGGGAGGCAGCAGUGGGGAAUAUUGGACAAUGGGGGAAACCCUGAUCCAGCGACGCCGCGUGGGUGAAGAAGGCCUGCGGGUUGUAAAGCCCUUUCAGUGGGAAGAAAAGCCUCGACCUAACACGUCGGGGUCUUGACGUAACCCAUAGAAGAAGCACCGGCUAACUCUGUGCCAGCAG